rnacentral:rRNA from 1 species
CAAUAGCGUAUAUUAAAGUUGUUGCAGUUAAAAAGCUCGUAGUUGGAUUUGUGGCGUACGGUGUGUUCCGGGCACUUGUUGUCUGAGUAACCUGCUGUUGCCAUCCUUGGGUGGAACCUGUGUGGCAUUAGGUUGUCGUGCAGGGGAUGCCCAUCAUUUACUGUGAAAAAAUUAGAGUGUUCAAAGCAGGCUUAUGCCGUUGAAUAUAUUAGCAUGGAAUAAGGAGAUAGGACUUUUUUGCUAUUUUGUUGGUUUGCGCAAAGAGGUAAUGAUUAAUAGGGACAGUUGGGGGUAUUCGUAUUCCAUUGUCAGAGGUGAAAUUCUUGGAUUUUUGGAAGACGAACUACUGCGAAAGCAUUUACCAAGGAUGUUUUCAUUAA